rnacentral:rRNA from 1 species
AUUGAACGCUGGCGGCAUGCCUUACACAUGCAAGUCGAACGGUAACGGGCCUUCGGGUGCCGACGAGUGGCGAACGGGUGAGUAAUACAUCGGAACGUGCCCGAUCGUGGGGGAUAACGAGGCGAAAGCUUUGCUAAUACCGCAUACGAUCUACGGAUGAAAGCAGGGGACCGCAAGGCCUUGCGCGGACGGAGCGGCCGAUGGCAGAUUAGGUAGUUGGUGGGAUAAAAGCUUACCAAGCCGACGAUCUGUAGCUGGUCUGAGAGGAUGAUCAGCCACACUGGGACUGAGACACGGCCCAGACUCCUACGGGAGGCAGCAGUGGGGAAUUUUGGACAAUGGGCGCAAGCUUGAUCCAGCCAUGCCGCGUGCAGGAUGAAGGCCUUCGGGUUGUAAACUGCUUUUGUACGGAACGAAAAGCCUUCUUUUAAUACAGGAGGGUCAUGACGGUACCGUAAGAAUAAGCACCGGCUAACUACGUG